AAAAAAAAUCGUUUUUUUUUUUUUUUGCUUUGUGGGUAAGAAAAUGGCAAACCUGGGGGUGAAAAUUUUUCGUUAAAAAAAAUUCCGGUGUGUAUUAACCGUCGUUUAAAUUUGGAGGGGGCGUCAUGUGACCUAAUCACAAUUUCUGCAAAACUCGCGCGGGACGGAAACGAACAAAUGAGUUGUUAACGGUAAUAGAAAAGAGAGGCGCAGUCACAGAUCAGAUCCCCAAGCCAAGAUCCAUAAAAUGGCUACACUUGAACCACUUGAUGAACCUAAAGACAACAAGUCCAAGUCCAACUAUGUCAAGAGGAAUCAUGGCUCCACCAAGUUCUUCGUUUUUGUCGAUUAUCUUUUUCUCUGCAUUUUUCUUGGAUUCCUGUGUUUCAUCCUUCUCAAAUUUCUCGGUUUCUAUUGAUUAUUUUGUUAUGCACACUCCGUUAAACCAGGGUAUAACUUUACUAAAUUUUUAGUAAAAUUUUUAGUCAUGGAUAUGAGAAGUUCAAGUUCUAAGGCAUCUCAGGUUUUGGUAUCAUCAGAUUCAGAUUGUGUAAUUUAAGUUUAGAAUAUUUAUCUCGAAAUUGCUGAAGCCAUGUGAUACAAAUAUUUUCUUUUCAGACUUUUUUCUUUCUUCACUAUGUUACAACCCAUAUGUGUUAGCUUGGAAUUUUGAAGCCUAUGUUUGCAGCAUUCUGUCCUUAUCAAUAUUAAAUACUGUCUUUAUUUCAGCACCA